GCAGGAAGUAACAUCCACUGAGCACUUACUAUGUGCCAAGCAUUGUCUAAGUGUUUUAUAUGUUACCUAAUUCAAUCCUCAUCACAAUUCUGUGAUGGUAGGUACAAUUAUUGCCCCUAUUCCUAGUCCCUUUCUUCAGGAAAGAAGGAAAGAGGGAGAGAGGGGAGCCCCUCAGGUGCACAGUAAAUGAUGCAGUAAAGUACAAAGGUGUUCAGAACCCCCAGCCCCUGGCUUCAUCUGCUUAUCACUCUCCCAGACCACCAGAGGGACCCCCCUUCUCCUCCCACCAGUCCCUUGAGCUCCUCAGCGGCAGUUCCAUGAGUCCCAAAGGGGACACAGGGAAGCAUGGUUCCUGCACGGAAGGGGGCUCUGGUCCCCUUCCCAUACAGACGGGAAGACUGUAUGGAUAAUAUGAGACAGAGUGAGACACCAGAGGUACCAUGAUCACGAGAGCUCAUCUUUAUUGGCUGCUGAUCUCCUUGCCAGCAUGUGUGGUCUUCACAGCAAUCAUAGACCCUGUGAGUCCUUUUACUUAUUUACUUUUUAAAGACUUUAUUUAUUCGUGAGAGACACAGAGAGGUAAAGACAUAGACAGAGGGAGAAGCUGCAGAGCUCUGCUAUAGGACUCAAUCCUAGGACCCCGGCCGGGAUCACAACCUGAGCCAAAGGCAGACGCUCAACCACUGAACCACCCAGGGGCCCUGUGAGUCCUUUUAUUUUUUAUUUUUUUUUAAGAUUGUAUUUAUUUAUUCAUGAGAGACAGAGAGAGAGAGAGGCAGAGACACAGGGAGAGGGAGAAGCAGGCCCCAUGCAGGGAGCCUAACAUGGGACUCCAUCCCGGGUCCCCAGGAUCACGCCCUGGGCUGAAGGCAGCAGCGUUAAACCGCUAGGCCACAAGAAAACCAAGGCCCACAGUGUUAAGUUAACUUACUCGAUGUUACAGAAUUGAUGAGUAGUGGAGCAGGGAUUCCGACCCAGGCAGGCUGGCUCCAGAGAUUGAGCUCUUAAUUACAUUGUACUGCCUCUAAAUGAAAUGGGGGAACUCAAAGAAAGUUUCUUGUGUUCUGCUUUAGUUUCUAAAUAAGGGAAAACCUUGGGGAGAUGCGAGCUAUGUAGCAGUCACAAAAAGCUUCAUGGAGGAAAUGGCACUAAAGCCAUUGAGAUCUGAGCCUGAGAUCAAGGACAGGCAAAACAGAGAUAACCAUUUCUCUUUUCAUCCCAAACAUGUGACUUUUCUUUCCCUCAAAACUCCCUCAUAUUCCUCUAGAAUUCCUCUGUGUGGUACAAUACUUAAGAUUGUGGGCAGGUAGGAAUCAUUAAGACAAAACUGCUUGGCUGAAAACACACACUUACCUCCACCAGCCCUGCCCACGUUUCUGUCUGCUUCAUCAUGAUGUGGACCAGGAUGAAAAGUACAGUGAAAAGGAACUUUAGAUGGUCUCUUCUGAGAGGAAAAAAAAA
rnacentral:lncRNA from 1 species